AGGGUUCGAUCAUGGCUCAGGAUGAACGCUGGCGGCGUGCUUAACACAUGCAAGUCGAACGAACCUUCGGGUUAGUGGCGGACGGGUGAGUAACGCGUGAGAAUCUGCCCUCAGGAGGGGGAUAACGGUUGGAAACGACCGCUAAUACCCCAUAUGCCUAUUGGUGAAAUGAAUUUCGCCUGAGGAUGAGCUCGCGUCUGAUUAGCUAGUUGGUGAGGUAAUGGCUCACCAAGGCUUCGAUCAGUAGCUGGUCUGAGAGGAUGAUCAGCCACACUGGGACUGAGACACGGCCCAGACUCCUACGGGAGGCAGCAGUGGGGAAUUUUCCGCAAUGGGCGAAAGCCUGACGGAGCAACGCCGCGUGAGGGACGAAGGCCUCUGGGCUGUAAACCUCUUUUCUCAAGGAAGAAGAUAUGACGGUACUUGAGGAAUAAGCCACGGCUAAUUCCGUGCCAGCCGCCGCGGUAAUAC
rnacentral:rRNA from 1 species